AACUGAAGAGUUUGAUCAUGGCUCAGAUUGAACGCUGGCGGCAGGCUUAACACAUGCAAGUCGAGCGGGGGAAGGUAGCUUGCUACCGGACCUAGCGGCGGACGGGUGAGUAAUGCUUAGGAAUCUGCCUAUUAGUGGGGGACAACAUCUCGAAAGGGAUGCUAAUACCGCAUACGUCCUACGGGAGAAAGCAGGGGAUCUUCGGACCUUGCGCUAAUAGAUGAGCCUAAGUCGGAUUAGCUAGUUGGUGGGGUAAAGGCCUACCAAGGCGACGAUCUGUAGCGGGUCUGAGAGGAUGAUCCGCCACACUGGGACUGAGACACGGCCCAGACUCCUACGGGAGGCAGCAGUGGGGAAUAUUGGACAAUGGGGGGAACCCUGAUCCAGCCAUGCCGCGUGUGUGAAGAAGGCCUUAUGGUUGUAAAGCACU
rnacentral:rRNA from 1 species